CACCCGGAACUAGAUGGUGGGUUGAUUGGUCCUCUAUUUCUGUUGCACCACAUCAAGGUCUUCAUGGAGAGUUGGUACUAUACAGUUAGUUUUGUUCUUUUUCCCUAUCCUGAAAUUUUUUUUCCAUAAACAAAUGGGUUUUUUUUUUUCUUUUUAUUUUUUGUUUUUUGGGAAUAUUAGUGGGAUUUUUAAGGGGAAAAUGGGGUUUUGAUUGUCUUGGGAAACAAACACGGAGGGAUCGAAAAAUUUAGGACUAAGAGGAUGAAUUCACUAUAUGGUUGUAUUUAUACCUUGAUUGAUUGGGUUGUUCUCAAGUACCACUUGAAUGAUACUAUAUUGUAAGGAGAAAUUCCAUUCAAUCGAGCGUACGGAUUGACAACGUUUGAAUACCCAGGAACAGAUCAAAUAUUCAAGAGGGUGUUUAAUGAGGCAAUGUAAAAUCAUGCUACAUUGAUAAUGAAGAGGAUAUUCCAGAUUUACAAAGGGUUUGAAGGCCUCAAAGUGUAUAGAGAGAAGUCUAGUUAUGGUAAAAGAUCAUCGCAAAGUGUUUUUUCGAUUUCGAAUUUAGAAUUGAGAUGAAUGAUAGUUAGGGUUUGUUUAGAACUCUCCCACAAAUCAGGUUUUUUUUUUCUUAAUAACAAAUUUGAAGUAUUUUAAAUUAUAUUUGAGUGUGUUUUAAGAAAAUAAAUAAAAUGUAUUUAACACGUAUAUCUAUUAUUAAUUUUUUCUUCUUAUUUGAACCUAUCUUUCAUUUCUUAAAUGAAAUAAAUUACUUUUAAAAAAAUUCAUACGUUUUAUCUUUUAUAAUUGUAAUAGUAAUUUUCAUUCAUUUUGAAAUAUUUAAAUCUUUUAAUCUUUUAUAUUUAAUUAAAUAAUAGUGAAUUAAUAAUAACACUUAUUACAUUAUAGAUAAUUAUUGAAUGAAAAGUUUCAUCUCUCAUUUACAUUAUUUAUUUAAACAAAUUUAAAUUUUAUUAAGAAAAUUACAACAUUAUUUUAAAAAUAUUAAUAUUUUGAAAUAAAAUUUACAAAAAUGAUGAAAUUUUUUCUAUUGAGAUUUAAUUCUUUUGAUUUUUUUAAAAAUAUUUUUAGAAAAAACUUAUUUUUCCUUUAUAUAUUUUUUCAAUUGAUCAAAUAUAUAUAUAUAUAUAACUUCUUUUUUUCUAUAUUUUUUCCGGUUGAUUGAAUAAUUUGAUAUAUUAUGUAUUUUUCUUUGAUAUGAAAUUAUUUAAUUUAAUUUGGAUUAUAUUUUCUAUCUUUAGAAACAAAAAAUAAUAAUUGGUUUUACAAAAUAUAUAAUGGUUUUUAAAAACAAAUUUUAAAAAAUAAUUUUUAACAACAUAAUAUAAGUCAAUAACUUUUCCAUAAGAAUUUUUAAAUUUAAUAUAAAUUUUUAUUUUACUUUUUUGAAAAGAAAAUGUAUGAAAACCAAUCAUUAAUUUUUUAUUUACUCUUCACUUUUUUCAUUCCAAAAAAGUCUUAAAGUUAUAAAUUUCAUUCUCUUUAAAACCAUAUUAUUAAAAUAAUUAAUGUUAUAAAAAUUUAUCAUUAAAAGUUUGAAAACUUUUCAAAUUUCUCAUUCAUUAUAAAUUUUAUUCUCUUUAAAGUUUUUGAGAUUUUUCUUUUUUUAAUCCACAAAUUUCUUGAUCAAAUUAAUUCAUUUUUGUUCUUAUCUUUAUUAAAAAGCUCUUAUAUAAAAGGAAAAAAAUAUUUAAACUGUAUAUAAAAUAAUUAACACAAACUUUUUUAUAAAUUUAGUGUAAAAGAAAUAAAUAAUGUGUUUAAAUUAAAUUUGGUAAAUGUUAUGGCUAAGGACCAAGGUGGUAUUUAUUUUUUUAAUCUAAAAAAUAUUGGUUAAAAAAAUAAUUUUAUUAUCAUAAAAUUUUGUGCCAAAAAGUGUAAUUUUAUUUAUAUCUAAUCCCAAUUAUUAUUUUUUAAUUUGGUUUCACGUUUAAUUCAAUUAUUUAAUUUUGAAUCUUUACUUGAUUUUUAUGUAAGUCUUGAAAGAAUAAAUUCACAUACUAAUUUUUAUGUUGGAAAAUACGAGUUGUUUUUUCACUUUUUUUUAUUUCUUGAAAUACCCUUAUCAAUACUAAUAAUCAAUUUAAAUGAUAAUUUAAUGCUUUCAAAAUAAUUUAAUCUUUUCAUUUUGUUACAAUUUUAAUUAUUUGAGCGUAACACAAACCAUUCUUAAAAAUUACCACCACAAUCCUAAAAGGUAAUUCAAAAUUUAAUAUUUUUCAUACUCAUAAUCAACUUAAAUGUGGAUUUAAUCUUUUUAUUUUCUUAGGGUUAACAUAAGUCAUUCCUGAAAUUGGCAUCACAAAACUAAAAGCUAAUGAAAAAUUUAAUUUUUUCAUUUGCUUCCAAUUUCUAUUCCAUCAAUAGGGCUUUAAUUUAAUUUUUUAAUUACUUGACACAAAGGAAAUUUGUAUUUCAUAACUUCAUUUUGAUUUUAUAUUCAAAUUCAAUACAUCAUUUUAAUUUUAUAUUCAAAUUUAAUCUUGAAAACUGCUCUCAAGAAACUAUAAAAGAAAAGAUUAAUGUUUGUGGAAAACCUCUCAAAUUGGGCAUUUAUCUUCGGCACCCCCUCCAACAUAGCUACUCUAUUCUUCAUCCUCUAUUUGACAAAGGAUAAUAUGAUCUACCAAUAUAAUAUUUAUUAAUCUCAAUCAUUGAUUUUUGUUUAUUUAUAGUAUGUAUGUAGAAAAGUCUGAUUAUAGUAGGAGAUCAUCAUAAAGUAUUUUUCGAUUUUAGAUUUAGAAUUGAGAUGAAAGACAGUUAAGGUUUGUUUGGAACUCUCCCAUAAAUCAAGUUAUUUUUUUUUAAAUAACAAAUUUGAAGUAUUUUAAAUCAUAUUUGAGUGUGUUUUGAGAAAAUGAAUAAAAUAUAUUUAUUAUUAAUUUUUUCUCCUUAUCUUAACCUAUCUUUUAUUUCUUCAACGAAAUAAAUUAUUUUUAAAGAAAAAAAAUUACACGAAACUUUUUAUAACCAUAAUAGUGAUUUCCAUUCAUUUUGAGAUAUUUAAUUCUUUUAAAUUUUUAUAUUUAAUUAAUAAUAGUGAAUUAAUAAUAACACUUAUUAUAUUAAUUAUUGAAUAAAAAUUUUCAUCACUCAUUAACAUUAUUUAUUUAAGCAAAUUUAAAUUUAUUAAGGAAAUUACUACAUUGUUUUAAAAAUAUUAAGAUUUUGAUAUAAAAUUUACCAAAUGAUGAAAAUUUUUCUAUUGAGAUUUUAAUUCUUUUGAUUUUUUUAAAAAUAUUUUUAGAACAAGACUUAUUUUACUUUUAUAUAUUUUUUGUUUGAUUGAAUAAUUUGAUAUAUUAUAUAUUUUUAUUUGAUAUGAAAUUAUUUAAUUUGAUUUGGAUUCUAUUUUCUGAUAUGAAAUUAUUUAAUUUAAUCUGGUUCCAUUUUCUAUCUUUACAAAAAAUAAUAAUAAUAAUAAGUUUUACAAAAUAUAUAAUGGUUUUUAAAAACGAAUUAAAAAUAUAAUUUUUAACAACAUAAUAUAAGUCAAUGAUUUUUUCAUAAGAAUUUUUAAAUUUAACAUAAAAUUUUUAUUUUAUUUUCUUUAAAAGAAAGUGUUUCAUAAACCAAUCAUUAAUUUUAUUUAUUUAUUUUUCACUUUUUCAUUCCAAAAAUGUCUUAAAAGUUAUAAAUUUCAUUCUCUUAAAACCACACUACUAAUAUAAUCAAUAUUAUAAUAAUUUAUCAUUAAAAGUUUGAAAACUUUUCAAAUUUCUUAUAACCAUUUCUUUUUUCAUCUUUAAAGUUUGAAAUUUUUUCUCUUUUUUUGUCAUUCUGAAUUCUUUUCAAAAAUUUCUCUUCAACUCUUUCGGGUAUGCUAUUCCUUCUUUUUCAUUUUUUCUUUUUCUAUUUUUAAACAUUUUUCAUUUUUUUAAUCCACAAAUUUCUCGCUCAAAUUAAGUCAUUUUUGUUAUGAUUUUUAUUAAAAAGCUCUCAUAUAAAAUAAAAGAAGUAUUUGAAUUAUAUAUAAAAUAAUUAACUUAAUUAAAUUUACAAAUUUAGUGUAAAAGAAAUAAAUGAUGGGUUUAAAUUAAGGUUGAUAAAUAUUAUGCCAAGGACUAAGGUGGUAUUUUUUUUUUAAUAUAAGAAAAUUGAUUAAAAAAUAAUUUUAUUAUCAUAAAAUUUGGUGCCAAAAAAUGUGAUCUUAUUUAUAUCUAAUUCCAUUUAUUUUUUAAAUUUGAUUUCAUGUUUAAUUCAAUUAUUUGAUUUUUAAUUUCUACUUGAUCUCUAUAUGAGUUUUGAAAUAAUAAAUUCACAUACUAAUUUUUUUUCAUAUUCCCUCACGUUGGCACGUGUAUAACUAGUAAAUUCCAAAAGAAUCAAUCCCACAAACGUAAUUUUUCUUUUAAAAACUUGUAAAAGGAUAAAAUUAUUUCCAAAACUACACUAUUUGUACAAUUUAAUUGUCAUUUAAAAAUAUUUUUAAUAUUUAAUUUAAAAUAUAUCUUUUUAAGUACUAAAUUAUUCAGGCAAUUUUAAUAGCAUAUUAUCCUUAUUCAUAAUAAAUUUUUGUAUGUAUUUUUUAGCUUUGGGAAUAUAAGCAAAUUCCCUUAUUACUAUAAUCGCCUUAUAAAAAAAAUGAAAACAAUUUUAUUCCUUAUUUUUCCUUUUUCUUGAUUAUGGAUUUAAUUAAGAAAACUGGAAAAUAUUUUUAAAAACCCAUAUGGGUCGAUUAUUCUCUAAUUUGAAUUUUAUGUGAAAAACAUUAAAAAUUAAAUAUAAGGUUUAUUUGAUUAAAAGGACAAUUGAAAACCCGAUUUUGGAAAUCUAACCCUCAAUUAUUUUUUUGCCACAUUUUGACUUUAAUGUCAUCGUUCUUUUCUUGUAAAAAUAAUUAUUUGUUUUAAAACGUGUGCAUAUAAAUACUUGAAAUAGUCAAGAAUAUUUAUGUCAAAAAUGGGUUACUCUUUAAGAAAAAAAUGAAAGAGAUUAAAAUCACAAACAUGAAAAUUAUUUCAUCCCUUUUAACCAAUUAAUUUGAAAUAUAAUUAAAAGUUAUAUAAUACAUAUUGCAUAUUUUAUACAAUACAUUGCAUAUUAUUUUUAACUUUCUUUGUUAUAAUUUUUAUAUUAAAUGAUGUAAUAAAAUGCUCCUACAAUUAAUAUAUUUAGUUAUAAUAUUUCAUAGUAUAUUAAAUAAAAUAAAAUAUUUAUAUAUUAACUACUAUAAGAUAACAUAUCAUUUCAAUAAUAUGUGAUAUCAUCAUGUACUGUUUUGCUAAUAUUCAAAUUAUUUUUACAUUUGUAAUAUUCUCAUUCUAUUUACAUUAUUAUACAUGAUUUUGAUCAUAUUCCCUAUGGUAGGUUCUAUAACGUCUUUUACAAGUUUUUUUUUUUUUUUUUUCCAUUUUAUAAGUGUAGCAUGGCUCAAAGCUUGCUCAUGUCAACACUUUCAAUUCCUUUAGCAAUACACACUUAACACAUUAUUUGGAAGGCAGAGAUUCAGGAAGAAAAAAAUCACUUAAAAUCCCUACUUUAGUGGUAGGAUAAUAGAGAUUUUAUGAACCAGAGAGUUAUAGAUGUUUCUUUAUGUUGGUUCAAGGAUCUAAAAGACAAAAUUGAUCUAGCCCAAAACAAGCAAACAAGAAAUCAAAAAUGGAAUAGGGUACUUAUUGAACUAAAUGGUUAAGGCUUGACAAUGCAUUGUCCUUAAAGUAGAUUCACCUUCCUCGGGUUAUUCUUCAAAUUGAUAAAUGGUAGUUUUUUCAUUCAUUCUUUCAUUCGUUCAUGUACAGAGUAUAUAUAGAGGGUAAUCAUCAUUCUAAGAAUGAGAAAGAAUGAUACAAGGAAAGAAUGAUAUAAGGAAAUAACAACUAAUAUCCUAAUAUCUCAACUUUCCUAAUAUCUCAAUAUUCCUAAUAUCUCAACUUUCCUAAUAUCUAAACAUUCCUAAUAUCUCAACACUAAAUGAUACAAGGAAAGAAUGAUAUAAGGAAAGCAUUCCUAAUAUCUCAACACUCCCCCUCAAGUUGGUGCAUAGAUGUCACACAUGCCCAACUUGUCUAAAAUUUUUUAGAACACUUGACUUGAGACAACUUUGGUGAGGAUAUCGGCCAAUUGAUCUUCUGAUCGAAUCUUAGGCAAUUCCACAAUCUUAUCAUCCAACUUUUCCUUAAUGAAGAAUCUAUUCACCUCGACAUGCUUUGUAUGAUCAUGUUGUACUGGAUUAUGAGCAAUGUCACAUGCGGCUUUAUUGUCACAAAACAAUCGGAUUGGUUGCCUAUAUAGGAAACCUAAAUCCUGUAAGAGGAGUCUUAGCCAUAAUGCCUCACAAAGUCCUAAAGCCAUACCUCUAAAUUCCGCUUCUGCACUUGAACGAGCGACGACAUUCUGCUUCUUACUUUUCCAUGUCACAAGAUUACCACCUACAAAGGUAAAGUAACCAGAUGUAGAUCGCCUAUCAUCCACUGCACCAGCCCAAUCAGCAUCAGUAUAUACUUCUAUACUAUGAUGAUCAACAUUUUUAGCAAACAAAAUUCCCUUCCCAAGAGCAUUCUUCAAAUACCUCAAAAUACGUAUGACUGCAUUCAUAUGUUGCUCUCUAGGAUUAUGCAUGUAUUGACUCACUACACUCAAUGCAUAAGCAAGAUCUGGUCUUGUAUGAGCUAAGUACAUUAAUCUCCCCACAAGUCUCUGGUUUCUUCCCUUAUCGGUUGAUACUUGAUUAGGCUCAACACACAAUUUCAGACUUUCAUCUAUUGGUGUAUUAACAGGUUGACAUCCCAACAUUCCAGUCUCCUGUAAAAGAUCUAAGGCAUACUUUCUUUGAGACAGAAAAAUUCCUUCACUUGAUCGAGAAAUUUCAAUCCCGAGAAAGUAUUUCAGAGGACCUAGAUCUUUCAUUUCGAAUUCUCUAAAUAGAUAAUUUUGCAAAGCUUUUCUUUCUUCAGGAUCAUUUCCUGUAACUACCAUGUCAUCCACAUAUACGAUAAGUGUCGUAAUCUUACCAUGUUGCUUUUUCAGGAACAAAGUGUGAUCUGAAUUACUUUGACGAUAGCCAAAAGCUCUCAUUGAUUUUGUGAACCUUCCAAACCAUGCUCUCGGGGAUUGCUUCAACCCAUACAAUGACUUCUUCAAUUUGCACACCUUUUGACAUUGCUUUUCUAACACCAUGCAUCUUGGUGGAAGAUCUAUAUAUACUUCUUCAGAUAACUCGCCAUGCGGAAAGACAUUUUCACAUCGAACUGUUGUAAUGGCUAAUCUAGGUUUGCAACUAAAGACAAUAAUACUCGAACUAUGUUGAUCUUAGCUACAGGUGCAAAUGUCUCUGUGUAGUCAAUUCCAUAAGUUUGAGUAUACCAUUUUGCUACCAGUCUUGCUUUAAAUCAUUCAAUACUACCAUCUGCCUUGUACUUCACAGUAUAGAUCCAACAACACCCAACUGGCUUCUUUUCUGGUGGACAUUCUACGAGUUCCCGUGUUUCAUUCUUCUGCUAUGAUUUCAUCUCUUCAUUCAUGGCUGUUUUCCACCUUGGAUCAGCUAAGGCUUCCUGCACAUUGUUAGGAAUAACUAUAGUAGAUAAUUGAUUUACAAAUGACUUAUUUGAUUCAGACAAACGAUGGUUAGACACAUAGUUGCUCAUGGGAUAUUUGACUUUGGUAGACAAUUCAGGUUCAUAUGUGGGUUUAGGAAUACCUCUAUUAUGACAGUGUGGUAACCGUUUCAUGAAUGGAUCAGGUUCCAAAUUAAGAACACUCUCAGCAGACGACGAUUGGUUUGGUAUUUCAAUGAAGACAUCUUCGGACCCAAAUUGUUGACCACUCAUAUCCAACUCACCCACUUCCUGGUUCACUAGUUCAGAUUGUCCAGAUUCAUCAUCCUCAGAGAUAUGAUAAUCAUAAUCGAGAGUCUGAAUUUCCUUAUGGUACUCCCCCUGAAGUUCAGACUCAGAUGAAAAAUACAUCGAAUCUUCAUGAAACACCACAUUCAUUGUAAUAAACAUUCGUUGAGUUGGAGGAUGGUAGCAUCGAUAUCCUUUUUUGUGCAAUGCAUAUCCAACAAACACACAUUGUAAUGCAUGGGAAGUUAACUUGGUGAGUUGGUGUUUGUGUAGAUGCACAAAUUCCACGCAACCAAAAACACGAGGAGGUAGAUUUGGGACGGUUGGGGCAACUACGACAUUAGUAAGAACUUGGAGAGGUGUUUGGAAGUUAAUUGAGCUAAAAGGUACCCGAUUGAUCAAGUAUACGACAGAUGUGAUUGCUUCUCCCCAAUAAGAUAUCAGUAUUUUUGCUGCUAUCAAGGAAGCACGAACAACCUCUAACAAGUGCCGAUUUUUCCGUUCAGCGACUCCAUUUUGCUGGGGUGUAUUGGAACAAGUAGUCUGAUGAAUGAUGCCAUGUUCUUCCAAAUACUUUUGAAGAUCAUAACUCUGAUAUUCUCCACCAUUAUCACUACGCAAAACCCGAACCUUUGCAUUGUACUGAGUUUCAAUCAUUUUAAGAAAUUUUUGAAACAACAAGUUCACUUCAUCUUUGGUCUUCAUCAAGCAUAACCAUGUCAUUCUGGUACAAUCAUCAAUAAAAGCAACAAACCAAUGUGAGCCACUCAAAGUUGGGACUUUGGAUGGCCCCCAAACAUCAGAAUGUAUAACCAUAAAAGGAAGCGGAAUUUUAUUCAAAAUUAACAGAAACGAAGCACGAUGGCUUUUAGCCAAUUCACAAAUAUCACAAUGGAAACAAAAAAUAUCACUAUUUGCAAACAAACUAGGAAACAAUUUUUUUAAAUAACCAAAGGAAGCAUGUCCCAGAUGUCGAUGCCACAACCAAAUUUCAGACUUUUUCUUCUCCUCCUUAGAUCCAUCUGCCUUCAAGGCUUGUUGCAACUUAUUUGAAUCCUUUGACUACAAGUCCAAGUAAUAGAGUUUUCCCCGCUUAAUACCACAACCAAUCGUCUGUCUUGUUUGGAUGUCCUUAAUCACACAAAAUUCAGGCUAAAAAAAUGACAAUAUAAGAUAAGGCUACAGUGAUUUGAGAAACUGACAAAAGAUUGUAAUCUAGAGAUGGAACAACUAAAACAGAAUCCAAAUUCAAAGUAUCAGUAAGAGUUAAGGAUCCUUCCCCAAUGACUGGGGUUGUGUUACCAUUGGCUGUGGAAACAAUUUUUUGUGAGGAAGGUCUAAGGGGUGAAACCUAUCUAGAAUCAAAAGUCAUAUGAUCUGUAGCACUAGAAUCAAAUAUCCAUGCACUAUUAAUAACAUGGUUAAAAGUAUUUAAAAACUUACCACCAUGAUUUGUAGCGGCUACCAAUGCAGAGGCUUUCUCAGCAACAUUAGCCAUUGUUUUUAUUUUGGCAACAGUUGCAGUCGAGGUUUUCUUGGAAUCCUUCUUCCGUUGAUCACGAUUAUUAUCAUUAAUAACAAAGUGGUGAUAACCUAAACAUGAUCUAAAGGUCUAUGGUUCAAAUCCUCGGAUCCUUAUUGUUUUCCUGGUCAUACCAAGAGUCGUUGCUUUGAAAUUGUGGGAUAUCCAGACUGGUGGGAUCAAUCUUAUUGCAGUGAGUGCAUUUAAAGGUUGACUUAUCAAUAUUAGGGCUUGUCUUAGGAUAGUUGAUCGUUGUCGGACUACCAUAGUGACAAAAUAUCCAGGAUUAUUUCAAUUCCAUGGCUUUGAUACCAUCUUUAAAUUGAUAAAUGGUAGUUUUUUCAUUCAUUCUUUCAUUCAUUCAUGUAUAGAGUAUAUAUAGAGGGUAAUCACCAUUCUAAGAAUGGGAAAGAAUGAUAUAAGGAAAGAAUGAUAUAAGGAAAUAACAACUAAUAUCCUAAUAUCUCAACUUUCCUAAUAUCUCAAUAUUCCUAAUAUCUCAACUUUCCUAAUAUCUAAACAUUCCUAAUAUCUCAACACUAAAUGAUACAAGGAAAGAAUGAUAUUACGAAAGCAUUCCUAAUAUCUCAACAGUUAUAACCUUGUUGUAGUAGGGAACCGACACCUCCAAGAUUCAACAACAUAGUAACCUCACCUUAGGUGCACAACUUUGAUGAGCUAUUUGUACAACUUGAAUUUAUAAGGUACUCGUCUAGGUACUAGAGUUCAAUAUUGAAUAUAGGAAAAAUCAAUGUUGCAAUAAAAUGAUAGAAUCAAUGACACUGCAACAAGUGAGUUAGAUAGCUUGGUUGUUGCAUUGGAGUAAUGGUUGCAGUGGGCAGUGGAUGUAGCAGCAAAGAUGAAUAUUGUUGCAAAAACUAGCCAAACAAAGAUCACUAUGAUGAAAUGCAAACAACUACAGGUGAUCGUGCUUGGUUAUGAUGAUAGUCAUAGUAAAGCACCAAAAAUUGUAGCAAUUUAAACCCUCCCCCCCUGGUAGCAGAGGUCCUAGAAGAUGGGAUCAAAAACUCUAAAAAAGAUGAUAUUCAAGCUUUAAAAAAUGAUGCUUCUAUGAAAACUGUCCAAUAGUAUUUUCUUAAGCAUCCAUCACAAGCUUCAAUGUCUAAUGACAUGUCCUAGUUUCUUCUUAAGAAGCAACAAUUACAUGCAUUCUCACUCGAUGACGAAACUCACUUUUUGUUUAUGAAAAACAAAUUAAUUUUUUUUAAUAAUAGAGUUGCUACUUAUUUUUGUUUAAUUUUUUUUAAGGGCAAACAAAAUUAAAAAAAAAUCCUAGAAAUAUGACUCCAUUUUUUUUUAGAAAAGUCUAUCUUUGAAAACCUGAGUCUAAGUCAGGGGGUCAAAUUACUUAUCGGGAAGGUACCAUAAUGGUAGCACCCCUUUAAGUCCUAAAAUUGGUCUUUACUAAAUAAGUUGAGAUAAUUAUGAGGAUUAACUGAUUAAUUCAUGGAUAUAAUGAAUGAAAUAGACACAUCAACAUAAUUCAUCAAUUUAAUAAAGAAAGGCAUACCUGAUUUGUAUUCUAAGCGCUUCCAAAAAAACAUAAAAGUUAAAUAACAAGCAAUAACAUCACAUUGCAUUUUAAACAAUCAAAUAUUUCAUGAUAAGUUGAAUUUAAUGUCAUACAAUCUCAACACAACAAGCAAACACUAAAAUACAAUGUUCAAUCACAAGCUUUAAUUUAAAUAAAUGGUGAAGAAAAGGUUUGCUUCCCUGGUUUAGUGUCUUAAAGUGUUUUCAUAAAAAUGAGAUUAAUUCAUAAAUAAUAAUAAUGAAUUCAAAAAGGUAUCAAAAACUAAACUUAUAUAUAAUCAAUGUCAAAUUUAUUCACAAGAGGGUUUCUUUGCAAAAAAAAAAUGAAAAAAAUGAAAAAAUAGCAAAUGGUUAAAACAAGGGACUCUACAAAAUAAAUCUAAAACAAAUAUUUGGAAGUUAAGUUUUGUCAUGAAAAUUUUCAGGGAGUAUCUCCUUCAUGUCUAGUUUAUCAUCCAAGUACUCAAAUCAAUCAACUAGCGCUCAUUUAAUACCUAAUUUCAUAAUGAUAUUAGUAGGUCCAAAACAAGGCAUCUUUUUAAAGUAUUUAGCAAUUGAUUUUUUUAGUUAACUUAAAGAUGUCCUAAAAUUAUAUACAAAUUUCUGAAACUAUCCUAAUAUGUCUAUUUUGAAUUAAAAAUAAUCACAAGGAAAUAUCUUUAAUACUUAUUUUGAAUUACAUUCAUAACAUAUUUAAAAAUAAGUAAAUAUCUUUGAGCUCUGGGAGAGCACUAGUGUAGUAAGUUCAAGAAUAAAAAAUUAUAUGUUUCUUUUUAGUAAUUAUUUAUUAAUAUUUUAUAUUUCGAAAAUCAAAUUAGGAAGUCUAGAUUAAUAUAAAAAUAUUCAAUGAAUUUAAAGAAAUUGUUUAGUAAUUUAAUUUUGCAAAAUAAGACUAAGUGUCAAAAACAAAGUGAAAGUUGAAUCUUCUGAAAGAUUGAUUUAUAUCUUCUAAUUAGGAACUUAUUUUUGAGUAAAAUAAAGACCUAAAAUUAAGUUCAAAGAGUCUAGAAUAUCAUGGAAUAAUUAGAAAAAUUUUAAAGAGUUUUUAAAUGGUCAAAUUAUAAUUUACAAUUUCAUAUAUGCAGUGAGCUAUCAAUAGUGUCAAUAGAAAACCUUAUUUUUGAAAAAUUUUGUAUGCAGGGAUUUAUUCAAUCCCAUUUUAAUUUACAUGAAUUUUCAUUCAUAAAUAAUCCAUUGGUUGAAACUAUGAAUUUUAAUUCAUGUGUAUUUAAAACCAAAAUUCAUUUUUAAAACUUUUCAAAGUUGCAUACCAAAUAAAAUGGGUAGCAUUAUUUUUUUUAGAAAUUGAAAUUUUAUACUUAAAAAAGACUAAGAUGAAUUUUAAAUAUAAUUUCAAGGAUUGAUUUUGCUAUGAAUGGAGUAUAAAAACAUUUUUUUUUAAAAAAAAGAAGAAAAACAAUUCAUAUAUAUAUUUUUAAAUUUGAUUACCAACAAAUUUGUAAGUGUACAUGUGUGAAUUAUUUAAAAAAAAAAAAAGAUAAAUCAAAUUUUCAUGAGUCAAAGUCAAGAGAGUUUAUUCAAAGCCAAUUGUCAUAUGAUUAUCCAAUAGUUUACUUGGAUGAAGAUUUUUUUUUUUUUUUUAUAAAAAAAACAAAUUAACUCAAUUUCAAUCAUGAUUCAUCAAGUAAUCCACAUUUAAUCACUUAAUUUCCUAAAAAUCAAAUUCUAACAACACUCAUGUGUGGCCUAAUUUGUCCACACCCAACCUAAACUAACAUGUAUUCAAAAAAAUUAUAAAAUGAGAAAGGACCUAAAUAAAGAAGAAAAUAUAAAGUAUGAGUUAAGAUAAAAAAAUAUUUUACUUACAUCAAAUUAAAGUGUAAACCAAACAUAAAAUAUCCAUUUCACUAUUACCUGAACAAAACAUUAAUUCUCUCAAUAAUCUUCAUAUUAUUAAUUCAAAUUCUAUAUGGGCACUAAGAGUAAGAUCAUUGGAAUUUUCUAUUUGAUAUAAGUAUAUCCACUAACCUCAUUGGUAAAUUUUCAUGGCUGGUUUGUACAACCCUCAUAUCUAUUUUUCAUUUUUCCAUUUUCCUUUUAUUUAUUUAACACAUAUGCAUAUCAUUAAGAUUUCGUUCCCUGUUUUUUUUUUUUUUCAUUCAUCAUAUCACACUUCAUUACUUUUAGCAUGCAUUUUCAUGAAAGAAAUCAAUCUCUCUAUUUUUAUUUUCUAUUAAAUUCCAAUAUUUAUACAUAAAAAAAAAAUCACUCACGAUAUCUCAUUUUGCACCACAUUCCAUCAUGAAUUUCCAAAUAUAUAUAUAUAAAUUCAAUCAAUAUAUUUGUAGACCCCCAUUUUGGGUCAUUCUUGCAGCUGCCUACCGCCUAGCUUGCCACGUGGAGGAACUUUGAGAGGCCACUUGUCGGCUCGUGGAUGGCUGCUAGAGAAUCAUAGUAAUGGAAUUAAAGAACGAAUGAGAGUUGGACACCUGGAAGAAUAUUCAGGGGAGCGUUUGUUUGGCAUUGAGGUCGUUAGUGAGCUGCAGAGGUGCAUGUGCUUUUUGGACGUAGGGGUUGAGAGAUAUUUUGGGGUUGAUAGCAGAGUGUUUUUGGCAGGGGAUUAGGGGGGAUACUUAGAGCUAGGUAGAGAGAGGUCUUGAGGGCUGUUUGAGGAAGAUCAGAGAGUGAAACUAACUUGGGAGGAGAAGCUUGCUGGUGAAGAAAGAAAAACAGAGGAAAGUCGUGCUGUGGAUUUCUAGGUAAGGCCAUCUUGAGCUUGGAAUGUUCUUGUUUCUUAAUGUUUUGCUUCGCCCCUUGUUGAUCUUUGAGUGCUGUUUAUUGUUUGCUGUGGACAUCAAGGGCCACAGAGUUGUUUUGGUUGAACAUGUCUAUUUGCAUAUAAUGCCCUGUUUUGCUCCUUCGCAUACUCUUGAUUUUCCCCUGUAAUUAGCUAGAUUCUUCUUUGUGCUUGAGUUGGAAGAUUGGUAAGUAUAUCAUGGACUUCUAAUUCAUCCCACCAAUUUGCACCCCGUUUGUCAUUCUUGAAAUGAGGUUUUGCUUAAUAAAUCCUCAGGUCUCUUAUUCUUGCUGAGUUUUAGCGAUUCCUUUUUAUAUAUUUCUCUGUUCCUAGAUAUCUAGUUGUGGGAUGUUUUGGUUUGUGCAUCGCCAUUUGAGGGUUCCAGCACAGGGAAUGAAAGUUGUGGUCCCUGAAUCCUUGCAUCCCAAGAGGUCUUUAAAGAAUAUCUUGAGCCGUCGGUACAUGGUUCUACACCUCAUAUUUGGAGAAAAUGCCCUUGGAUGAUGUUACAAACUACGACUUCGAUAUGGCAGUAAGGAGAGCCAUAUGAAUUCAGCAGGUUGAUAAUACUAAAGUGAGUAAGAACACAACAGCAGCAUAGCGACAAAAAAUACUUCUUGGUAGUACUAGAACCUCUAAAACUAUAAACUCCACUAUAAUGGUUGAGAGAAUAUGAGGCAGUUUUGAUCGUGGUGGGUCAUCGUCUCUGUAUCCAGCAUCCUGAAUUGUGCUGUCAUGUGUGCUAAAUCUAUGCGCCUUUGUAGUGAAGAUGGAGUUGCCAUUUCUUUGCUUUGUUUUCUUGUUGAUCUGGCAAAGAGCUUGAAGACGAGCCCAAGUUCCUGAAGAAUGAUGAUGUAGGGUUUACCAAGAUGAUUCCCACCAAACCCAAAGUGAUGGAGAUUUCCUCCGAAUAUCUCCUAUUUGAUCGUUUUGGUGUUCAUGACAUGCCAUGCAUUAUUAUUGUUGGAGUCAUUAAAAGCUUAUAGAAGGAUCCAUUUGGGGACAAGCUCUGGAGGAAAGGAUCAUGCUGGAUGGGGUCCACUACAAAGUAACUUCUGACUUUCCUGAUGUAGCAAUAAGUGGUGCUAUCGGAAUCAUCAGCGGGUACCUUGACCAGUUGUCUAAGAAAUGUGCGUUAAAUCAUAUUUCAAAGAUUGAGAGUGGGAAUUUGACUCACGACUCAUCUGAAAAGGCUUCCAUUGAUUUGUCGCAUGGAAUUGGGGAAACUUCCAUGGGGAAAUUUUCGAUGGCUCAAUAAAACUGUAACUAAAAGGUGUAUAGGAUGUUGGCUCCUAGUGCCCCUCCUAAGACUCAAUCGAUCGACAGUGAGCAGGCUACUCAUGCCCCUGCAAAUAAUGAUUUGAAAUGCACCAAAGCAUAUCAGGAAGUUGAUGUUCCUGGACUUCAUAACCUUGCUAUGGCUAUUACAGGUUGCAGGGGUCUAAUGAUAGGACAACCUUCGUUUCUUGGAGAGAGUGGGGUUGUCACGACCCAAAUUCCAGGUGACCCAAAAUUUGGCCCGUGAUCCCAGGUCAAAGGUUUGACCCUAAGGGUUUCUCUUAUUCCACGUUGGCAGUCAACUAAAACACUCUGAAUUUUUUUUUUUUUUUCACAUAUAACUCCCACUAGGUUUUCACCAACUAACAAUAUUUCAAACUUUAUUCAAACACAUCAAGAUUUAAUAAACAUUAUUGCAUUCCAAAAUAAAAUUUCAUAAAAAUCCCCUUAAUCAAAUUAAGGUCUUAUUACAUUAUCCAUAAUUCACUUAUUACAAGGUCUCAAUACCACAAACACAAUAAAAAAAAAUAAAACACAUUCCACUAAACCGCUCUAGGGGCAUCCUGAAGUCCUCCCUGUCCCACUUGUGGAUCCUUAGGAGUGAUAUCUGCAUCUAAAAAGAUAUAAAAAGGAAGGGGUGAACAUUUCCACAUUGCUCAGUAGGGUGCCUAACACCCAAAGGGUUAAUGGGGGAUUACUAUAUUUCAAUAACCCAAACACAACAGUUUACCAAUAUAAAUCAAGUCACACAAUUUAACAUAUAACAUUAUAUUCAAUCCCACAACAUCCAAUCAUUAAAUGAAUGCAUAUGAAUGUGUGACACACAGUCAUACAAUGCAUUAUCGUUCUCGGGCUUUCACCGAAGGAUACGCGUCUGCACCCAAAUAUACUCCCCAUUUGGAGUCUUCCCGAGUAAACUUUUAGGUCUUUCACCCUAGAGAUCUCUCUCCCUUCUUAAUUCGCCUCACACGGGCUUUCACUUUUCAUCCCUAUUUUAUUUUUUUCCAUUUCAUACACUUUUCACAAUUUUUUUUUCAUACAACCAUGAUGCAAAUAAAUGCCACAAACUCCAAAAUUCCUCAAUAAUUUCUAUAAUUCCAAUAAUUCCAACAUUCUCAAUAACCCAAUAAAAUAAAAUUUUCACCUUAAAAUUCCCGAAAAUACACCAACAAAUUUUCAGAAAUUCACACAUCAAUAUACUUGAAUUUAUAUCACAAUUUCAGAAUUUUUCAAUAAUUUUAAUAAUUCCCAAUAUUUGAAAAUAACUAAUUUUCCACAAUAAAAUUACCGCAAAUAUUCCAAUCAAUUUUCAAAAAUUCAUAAAUCACUAGAUUUGAAUUCUUGCCCUAAUUCCGAAAUUUUCCUAUAUUUCUAAUAAUUUUUAACAACCUAAAACGAUUAAUUAUCAAUUACAAAGAAUUCCGGAAAUUACAAAAAAAAUCCAGAAAAAUCCCAAAUCAUUCCAGAAAAUUCACAUAACAUCAAAAUUAUCUACUUAACUCAUAAUUAUCAGAUUUAUAACUUUUUUUCCAAUGAAAAAUACAUUAAAUUUGAGUUUUAGGGUUAGUUUUCCCCUACCACAAAUUUGAGAAAUUGACCGUUAAAAAAUGAAAUCAACCACCGUAGACUUGUUCCUCUAGUCGAAUAGAGCACUUCCUCCGAAUUUGUGUUGAAGCGGAGGUCGUUUGGCCGUCUAAACGGCUAGUCAAAGAUCCGGCGAGUGACCAAAUUUCUGCAUAGUGCCCUUCUCUCUCUCUCCCCGCGUGCUGCCAGUUUCUAAUUCUCUCCCUUUUCCCUUUUUUUUUUUACUAAAAUUUCACCAACCACUUAAGCCCAAAACCAAAGGCCCAAUUCCAUUUCAUUUCAUUUUAACAAUCCAUACUACCUUUACAUGACCCAAGUUUAAUAGCCCAUUGAAUAUUUUCAUUUCAUUUCUUUUAUUUUACUUUUCUUUUGUUUUAUUUGAUUUCCAAUUCAUUUUUUUUAACACACAAAUUUAUUUAUUAACACCAAUCCAAAACUAAUUUUCUCAAAUUUAUUAUUCAUCAAUUUAAUUUAAUUUUUUCUUAAUUAAUUCUAAUUAAUUUUUAAUUAAUUCUUUUUUUUUUUUCGUUUUCGUUUUUCGUUUUUCGUUUCCGGAAGUUUUCAAUUUCUAAAAUCUUAAGAAAUUUUCUACCCUAAGGCUGACAUGACAUAAAAUUUCAACUCGUUUAAUUGACCGACACAAUAAAAUGAAAUUCACCAAUCUGAAAUUAACAUGUGUUCUCCAAACACUUUUCUUUUUGACUUUUCAACCAUCACACAAAAUAAGACUUUUCAAACUAAAAAUGCAAACGUGUCAUAAAAUACCCGGUCAUUACAUCCUACCCCCCUAAAAGAAAUUUCGUCCCGAAAUUUAAACUUGCUUACCUUAAAAUUUGUAGAAGAGUUGCGGAUAGUGUCGUCUCAUUUUUUCCUCAGGUUCCCAAGUGGCUUCUUCUAUCCCAUGAUGUUGCCACCACACUUUGACUGCAGGAAUCACCUUGUUCCUGAACCUAUGCUCUCCAACUUCCAGAAUUCGUAAAGGUUCCUCCACAUAAGAAGUAUCUUCACUAAUCUGAACAUCUUGCAAGUCCACUACCUAAGUUGGAUCUGGAGAACACUUCCUUAGCAUCGACACAUGGAAAACAUCAUGCACAAGGGACAACUGUUGAGGCAAAAGUAACUUGAAUGCCACUGGGCCAACCCUCUUAUCAAUCUGAAAUGGGCCCACAAACCUAGGGGCUAACUUCCCAUUUUUCCCAAAUCGAAAUAUGCCUCUUCGAGGGGACACUUUUACAAACACCCAAUCCCCUUCCUCAAACUCCAAGGGCCUUCUCCUUUUGUCUGCAUAACUUUUCUUUCUAUCUUGGGCAGUCUUAAGUUUUUCCUUGAUGAGUUGUAUCUUCUCUCUAGUCUCUUGGACAAUCUCAGGUCCCAACAAACGACUCUCACCCAUCUUUAUCCAACACAAGGGCGAUCUACAAGGUCUCCCAUAGAGUGCUUCAUAAGGUGCCAUCCAAUGCUAGAUUGGUAAUUGUUGUUAUAAGCAAACUCUGCCAAAGGUAAGUAAUCUGCCCAAUUUCCUCCAAAAUCCAAAACACAAGACCUUAACAUGUCUUCUAAGAUCUGGAUCACUCUCUCUGAUUGACUAUCUGUCUGAGGGUGAAAAACGGUGCUAAAAUUCAGUUGGGUGCCCAAAGCCCUUUGUAAACUCUGCCAAAACUGAGAAGUAAACUUAGGGUCCCUGUCAGACACUAUAGAUACAGGUAUCCCAUGCAAUCUCACAAUCUCCUGUAUAUACAACUUAGCCAAAGAGUUCAUGGAAUCAGUAGUUUUCAUGGCUAGAAAAUGAGCUGACUUAGUAAGACGAUCCACAAUCACCCAAACUCCAUUUUUCUUGCUUCUAGUUAUUGGCAACCCUAUCACAAAGUCCAUAGUGAUAUUAUCCCACUUCCACUCAGGUAUAGGUAAAGGUUGCAACAACCCUGUAGACCUCUGGUGUUCAGCCUUCACUUGCUGACAAAUCUGACAGUUGGCUACAAACUGAGCAAUAUCUCUCUUCAUCCCACUCCACCAAAACUCUCUUUAAGUCUUGAUACAUCUUGGUAUUCCCAGGGUGGAUGGUAUACUUCGCCCUAUGAGCAUCUGCUAGAAGUUCAUUUUUCAACUUCACAUCUUUUGGCACACACAAUCUCCCUUUGAACCUCACACUCCCAUCUUCAUACAUAGACUAAUUUUCAUCUAUUUCACCUGCUACCAACUGGGCUUUAACCUUUUCUAAAAACUCAUCAUGAACUUGGGCCUCCACUAUUCUCUGGAUAACCAUUGGUCUAGCUGAUAUAUUGUACAAGCAUGGACCAUGCCCUUCCAAACCAAGACAUAAUUCAAAAUCCUCAAUAACUGCAUGCAUCUCAAACUCUCUCAACUCCAAGCUAGACAAUUGACCAAAACUCUUCCUACUCAAGGCAUCUGCUACAACAUUCGCCUUUCCUGGAUGAUAAUGAAGAGCAAAAUCGUAAUCUUCCAAUGUCUCCAUCCAUUUCCUUUGCCUAGAGUUCAGAUCCUUUUGAGUGAAAAUGUAUUUCAAACUCUUGUGAUCAGAGUACACCUCAAACUUCUCUCCAUACAAAUAGUGUCUCCAAGUUUUAAGGGCAAACACCACUGCUGCAAGCUCCAAAUCAUGUGUUGGAUAAUUCCGCUCAUGCUGCUUUAAUUAUCUUGAGGCAUAAGCUACCACCUUGCCUUGCUGCAUUAGCACACACCCUAGCCCCCUUGUGGAAGCAUCACAAUAAAUUGUAAACAACUCUCCACUAAUAGGAGCAGUUAACACUAGAGCAGUGGUCAAUUUUCACUUCAACUCCUGGAAAGCAUUCUCACACUCCUCAUUCCAAUCAAAAUUCACCCCUUUUCUAGUCAACCGAGUCAUUGGUGCUGCAAUUCUAAAGAAGUCUUCUACAAACCUCCUAUAAUAUCCAGCCAACCCCAAGAAACUUCUAACCUCAAAUACAUUAGUAGGCCUUUGCCACUCCUGUACAGCUUUCACCUUGGAAUGGUCUACUGCUAUUCCUGCCCCAGAAACCACAUAGCCUAAGAAAUUCACUUCAGUAAGCCAAAACUCACUUUUGUCCAAUUUCCCAUAUAACUGAUGUCUUCUCAAAGUUUUAAGGGUGGUCACCAAAUGCUGCUUAUGCUCCUCCAAACUCCUGGAGUAGAUCAAGAUGUCAUCCACAAACACAAUCACAAACUGAUCGAAGUAAGCACGAAAUACUCUGUUCAUUAAAUCCAUGAAAGCAGCGGGGGCAUUAGUUAACCCAAAAGGCAUGACUAAGAACUCAUAAUGCCCAUAUCUCGUUCUAAAAGCGGUUUUAGGAACAUCUUCUUCCCUAACCCUCAAUUGAUGAUACCCAGUUCUCAAGUCAAUCUUACUAAAAUACUUUGCACCCUUCAACUGAUCAAACAAGUCAUCUAUCCUUGGAAGAGGAUACUUGUUCUUCACAGUAACUCUAUUCAACUUCCUAUAGUCAAUACAUAACCUUACUGUGUCAUCUCUUUUCUUCACAAACAACACUGGGGCUUCCCAUGGCGACGUACUUGGACGAAUAAAACCCUUACCCAACAAUUCAUCUAACUGAGUUUUCAAUUCCUUCAACUCAAGAGGGGCCAUCCUAUAAGGGGAUACUGAAAUAGGAUCAAUUCUUGGGUAUACUUCAAUAGAGAAAUCAAACUCUCUAUGCGGUGGUAAACUUGGUAACUCAUUUGGGAAUACAUCCUGAAACUUCCUCAGUACUGGAAUUUCUAUAAUGUCCUUCUGGGCUUUCUCCUUACCACGAAGGCAAGUUGAUUACUACUCAAAAAGUGCUAUUUGAUAACUUGUAAUUAACUCUUUUAAACACUUUUGAGUAGUAGUUAUUACCUUUUAACUCAAUUGGCAUGUUAAGGACCCUUGCAAUCAAUUCUAAUCAAAUUGUGUUAAGUUUUGGUGUUUUGAUAGCUUUUUGAUCACCAAAGCAAUCCAAGAUUGAGGAGAGUUCUUUGGAAUCCAUGGAAAAGCAAUGGAAAGCUCAGAAACAUGAAGAACCAAAACUUUGAAGUCCUUUUCCAUAAGCAAAUCUGGAAUGCAAGGAGGGGAAGCAAAGAGAAAUCUGCCAUGAAGCAUUCUUGAUGACAGUCAUGUUAGCCACUUUUGGAGCACUUCCUGGAGUCCAAUUUAUGCAUACUAUAUGUCGUUUCAAAGCUCAGGAAGUCAACAAUCCAAUGCUUCAAACGGUGCACAAUUCGGAGUUGAAAUGAAGGAGUUACAACCAUUGGAAGCAGAUCACUCCAAGCUGAAGGAAGAAUUUUGCACGGCUGCGAAAUCACCCUUUUGCUGCGAAAUGAUUUCGCAGCCAUUUUGCACAGUGCAACGAAAUUUCUCCUGAAGUUUCCCGAUAUUUGCGACCGACACUUUUGGAUAUUUUGCUUCAGAUUUUUGAUGUCUAAAUCCCCAUUUUCUCCUUGUAACCCACCAAUUAUAGGAUUCCUUAGUUAUUAAGUUUGGAAAAGGGGUGAAUAACCUCAGAUAUUUUGUUUUGUAAUUUUCUUUAUAUAUAGCUCUAGGGAGCUUGUUCUCAGAUAAUCAUGUAAUCCGACGGGAGGAAGACGCAUCCUUUGUAUAGUUUUGGAAGGAAUAUAUUUUACAGAGCACUUGCUCUGUUUUUCCUAUAUAUUUGUUUUCUCGUUCUUUUUAUUUCUAGCCAACCAAACUCUGAGGAUUUUUCCUCAGAGGAUGAGAGGCUAGGCUCUUCGUCUCUUGAAGCUAAGGUAACCGGGUAAGUUUCCACAUGCAUAAUUUGGAAGUUUUGUUGUUUUAGUUUUUAAUGAAGAGAAAGUGUGACCCGUUAAUGGUUUUUAUCUUUUUAGUUAACUUAAAACGCCUUUAAUUCACUUGAGCCAACACUUGGUAAGGCAAAUGAUCUCCGUCCAUGGAGAUGCACUAGUUUAUCUCUUGCGAGCUUUUGGGAGGUGACUUGAAGGUAGGAUUUUCUAGAAUUGCCAACACUUGGUAAGCUUUUGGACUCCAAGGAGACAUCCAUUAGUUAUCUCUUGCGAGCUUGAGAAGGGAAGUCCAAGGUUAAAGAUCACCUUGAAUGGCAAGUGCUAGGUGAGAGGUAUGAGCCAUUGCAAGAUGCAUCAGUGAGAGGGAUUUAGUGUUUGAACCCAUUAAUGGGAAGCAUCUGUACAACACCGGUUGGAGAAGGAACUAUAUGUUAAUUCUCUAAUGCGAGGAAAAGAAACAAGUGACCGGAACUCUCCUUUUUGUAUGAGGAACCUGAGCCUAGUGAUCUGAACUUCAAGAAACACUUUUCUUUGUAAGUAAAAUCAGUUACUAUUUUUUGGUUAGUUUAAAUCUAAACCUUUUUCAUUCAAACAUCUUUAUGUUUUCUUUUAAAGCUAACCUUGAAAUGAAAAGGCACCAAUUCAGCUUUGAAUUAAUAUCAUUUGCAAAGUGAAAACCCAUCCCAGUGAACGAUCCUAGAGCCACUAUGCUAUAGUAGCUUUGUCUUUGCUACCCUAGUAUAUGGUGUAAUAGGUUAUAAAUUUUGUUGAUUACUCCCUCAAUCAAGGAGCACCAGUUGGACACGAAUCAGCUGAUACACCAAUUGGGCACGAAUCACAAGCUAAGAAAUUUAUUGAUCCCUUCCCCAACACAUAUUGAUAACACGAAUUAGAUUGUGAAAAAGGCAAACUAACACACUUUUCUUCAACAAAGCAAACCUCAAAUCCCUCUGGCAGACAAAAUAUUAUCCUACGGCGAUGACAAUCAAUAAUCGCUCUAUACACUAUCAACCAAUCCAUUCCCAAGAUAACAUUAUACCCAGUCAUAUCCAAAAUCCUCAAAUCCACAUUUAGUGCUCUAUCUGCCAAGGUAAUAACACACCCCUUGCAUAUUCUAUCAACUCUAGAAUUCGUACCCAUAGGGGACUCAAUAAGUAACAAAUUUUCUACCCUUUCUGUUUUCAACCCCAAUGCAUUAGCACAAGAUGCAGAAAUGAAAGAAUGGGUUGCACCAGUAUCAAACAAAACACGCACCCAAGUACUAUAUACCAAAAUCAUACUUUCCACCAAAAGGGCGUCCUCCUCUGGCUUUGUUGGGGUCAAGGCAAAAACUCUUCCUACUGCCUGCCUUCCCCUACCUCUAGCAUUCGACCCUUGAGAAGAACGGGUUUGACUAAUCAUAGUAGCUGUCCUAGUUCCCUGUGCUGCUGGGGGUAAUUGUGGCAUCUGGUAGUAAGACAAUUGAAACUGAGGGGGUUGGAAAGACACUACUGGCUGUUGCUGAGAACUUCCCUGAGACUGAGGUCGAGCCUGCUGUACACCCCGCAAUGGGCAAGCCCUCCAUAAGUGGUAUCCCGCUCCACAACCAUAACAUACUCUAUUAGCAUCCACCCUCUGAGCACUCUACUCACCUCCUGUAUAGAAUGAGGAAUGUCUUUCAGACUGCUGAGUCCUCUGUCUCUGCUGCGGGCCUUGAGAUCUCCCCUGGGAACUUUCCCCCAUUCUUUGUUUCCCUUUUCUAUCCCCCAUUUGCUCCUGAAUUUGGUUGGUCUCCUCAAUAUCCUACUCCACCAACAAAGCCCUCUUAACCAAGUCAGAAUAAUCCCUUAUUGCUAGUGGGACUAAUUUGUUCCUAAUAGCAGGCCUCAACCCCUGCUGGAACCUCCUAGCCUUUUCUCCUUUCUCACUGAUCAUCCCCAAAGCAAAACAAGACAACUCUGAGAAACGUGACUCAUACUCCAGCAACGACAUGGUUCCUUGGAUGAGGUGCUCAAACUCCAUCCUCUUGGCAUGCUUAGCCACCUCCCCAAAAUACUUGCCUAGGAAGAUUCUCUCAAAUUCCUCCUAGGUCAUAACCUCAGUGUCAUACACCCUUUUCAUUGAUUCCCACCAGAAAUCAGCUUUAUCAACAAGGAUAUAUGCUGCCAGACCUACCCUUCUUUCCUCAGGUAUGUCCAGUCCCACCAGAAUUCUUCUCAUCCUCCUUAACCAAUGCUUAGCUGCUUCAGCACUGGGCUCUCCAUUAAAAGAUGGAGGCUGCAUCACCAUGAACCUCUUUAUUGCUUCCAUUUGGCUCAUUGCUGGCCUUUCAGUGCGGCUCCUCCUAUGUGAGUGGCUUGAAUCCUCAUGGCUCUGGGUACCUCCUGAUCUCCUAGAGUCCUGACCUCUCAUCGACUGAACAGUCUCUCUCAACUCCCUUCUUACUUCUCGGAGUAGUUUUUCUCUUAGUUCUUCUCUUAUCGACUCCAACUCCUCAUUUCUCUCAGAUCUUCCUCUUCUGGUCCUUCCUGCCAUUUCAAAUUUAACAAUCCCUAAUUCAACCACAUUACCAAGGUGAGCAAAAUAAAUUCACAUGUACCCAUUUAACAACCUCAACAACUAUCAAAACUUUCACUUUCCUACAAUCACAAUACAUAACUCAACAUAAUUAACAUCAUCAUGUUCUGAUUAUCAUCUACAAGAACCAUCACAAGGCUUUUCAAACAUCAAGAAUCAACAAUUAACUAAUUUAUUUAAUAAUAAACUCAUUAACUAACACAUACAGAAAAUCAUAACAUUACAUAACAUUACAAUACACACAACACCCACAAACAUUGACCCUAAAGUAUUAUUGCAACCUUGGCUCUGAUACCACGCUGUCACGACCCAAAUUCCGGGCGAACCAAAAUUUGGCCCGUGACCCCAGGUCAAAGGUUUGACCCUAAGGGUUUCUCUUAUUCCACGUUGGCAGUCAACUAAAACACUCUGAAUUUUUUAUUUUUUUUUCACAUAUAAGUCCCACUAGGUUCUCACCAACUAACAAUAUUUCAAACCUUAUUCAAACACAUCAACAUUUAAUAAACAUCAUUGCAUUCCAAAAUAAAAUUUCAUAAAAAUCCCCUUAAUCAAAUUAAGGUCUUAUUACAUUAUCCAUAAUUCACUUAUUACAAGGUCUCAAUACCACAAACACAAUAAAAAAAAUAAAACACAUUCCACUAAACCGCUCCAGGGGCAUCCUGAAGUCCUCCCUGUCCCACUUGUGGAUCCUUAGGAGUGAUAUCUGCAUCUAAAAAGAUAUAAAAAGGAAGGGGUGAGCAUUUCCACAUUGCUCAGUAGGGUGCCUAACACCCAAAGGGUUAAUGGGGGAUUACUAUAUUUCAAUAACCCAAACACAACAGUUUACCAAUAUCAAUCAAGUCACACAAUUUAACAUAUAACAUUAUAUUCAAUCCCACAACAUCCAAUCAUUAAAUGAAUGCAUAUGAAUGUGUGACACACAGUCAUACAAUGCAUUAUCGUUCUCGGGCUUUCACCGAAGGAUACGCGUCCGCACCCAAAUAUACUCCCCAUUCGGAGUCUUCCCGAGGUAAACUUUUGGAUCUUUCACCCUAGGGAUCUCUCUCCCUUCUUAAUUCGCCUCACACGGGCUUUCACUUUUCAUCCCUAUUUUAUUUUUUUCAUUUCAUACAAUUUAUAAAUUUUUUUUUUCAUACAACCAUGAUGCAAGUGAAUGUCACAAACUCCAAAAUUCCUCAAUAAUUUCUACAAUUCCAAUAAUUCCAACAUUCUCAAUAACCCAAUAAAAUAAAAUUUUCACCUUAAAAUUCUCACCCUAAGGAUCUCUCUCCCUUCUUAAUUCGCCUUACACGGGCUUUCACUUUUCAUCCCUAUUUUAUUUUUUUCAUUUCAUACAAUUUAUAAAUUUUUUUUUUCAUACAACCAUGAUGCAAGUGAAUGUCACAAACUCCAAAAUUCCUCAAUAAUUUCUACAAUUCCAAUAAUUCCAACAUUCUCAAUAACCCAAUAAAAUAAAAUUUUCACCUUAAAAUUCCCAAAAAUACACCAACAAAUUUUCAGAAAUUCGCACAUCAAUAUACUUGAAUUUAUAUCACAAUUUCGGAAUUUUUCAAUAAUUUUAAUAAUUCCCAAUAUUUGAAAAUAACUAAUUUUCCACAAUAAAAUUACCACAAAUAUUCCAAUCAAUUUUCAAAAAUUCAUAAAUCACUAGAUUUGAAUUCUUGCCCUAAUUCUGGAAUUUUCCUAUAUUUCUAAUAAUUUUUAACAACCUAAAACGAUUAAUUAUCAAUUACAAAGAAUUCCGGAAAUUACAAAAAAAUCCAGAAAAAUCCCAAAUCAUUCCAGAAAAUUCACACAACAUCAAAAUUAUCUACUUAACUCAUAAUUAUCAUAUUUAUAAAUUUUUUUCCAAUGAAAAAUACAUUAAAUUUGAGUUUUAGGAUUAGUUUUCCCCUACCACAAAUCUGAGAAGUUGACCGUUAAAAAAUGAAUUCAGCCAUCGUAGACUUGUUCCUCUAGUCGAAUAGAGCACUUCCUCCGAAUUUGGGUUGAAGCGGAGGUCGUUUGGCCGUCCAAACGGCCAGUCAAAGAUCCGGCGAGUGACCAAAUUUCUGCACAGUGCCCUUUUCUCUCUCUCCUCGCGUGCUGCCAGUUUCUAAUUCUCCCCCUUUUCCUUUUUUUUUUUUUUUUUCUUACUAAAAUUUCACCAGCCACUUAAGCCCAAAACCAAAGGCCCAAUUCCAUUUCAUUUCAUUUUAACAAUCCAUACUACCUUUACAUGGCCCAAGUUUAAUAGCCCAUUGAAUAUUUUCAUUUCUUUUCUUUUAUUUUACUUUUCUUUUGUUUAUUCUAUUUGUUUUAUUUGAUUUCCAAUUCAUUUUUUUUAACACAUAAAUUUAUUUAUUAACACUAAUCCAAAACUAAUUUUCUCAAUUUUAUUAUUCAUCAAUUUAAUUUAAUUUUUUCUUAAUUAAUUCUAAUUAAUUUUUAAUUAAUUCUUUUUUUUUUCGUUUUCGUUUUUCGUUUCCGGAAGUUUUCAAUUUCUAAAAUCUUAAGAAAUUUUCUACCCUAAAGCUGAUAUGACAUAAAAUUUCAACUCGUUUAAUUGACCGAUACAAUAAAAUGAAAUUCACCAAUAUGAAAUUGACACGUGUUCUUCAAACACUUUUCUUUUUUACUUUUCAACCAUCACACAAAAUAAGACUUUUCAAACUAAAAAUGCUAACGUGUCAUAAAAUACCCUGUCAUUACAGAGUCGACUAGCUUGCUGAAAUUAACAAGGUUUUGGGCACUUCAACAAGAGAGGAGAUGAAAUGCAUGGAAUCCAUCUGUACAGAGUUCGGAUAACCUCCUAUCCCAUUCAUCCCCUGUGCAUGACAACCUUUACUAUCCAUCAAACCUACCCACUAACCCAUUUCGUCUUUCAUCCAUCAUGCCUUCUCUCCUCAUGCCCACUACCAUUCCAUACCAUGCAUAUCACCAAUUCUUGCAUAUACAUAUUGCCAUACCCGUUAUAUCCCUACAUUCUGCCACUCAUCCCACUAAUCGAUACCCAUUCAUUUACUAAAUCAUUUUUCAGCCAUCCCACUCACUAUUCAAGCCCAAUUUUCUCACCACUAUUCAUCACCCAUGAAUCCCUCUUCCUUUGUUUCCCUGCAUGUGGUCAUCCUCAUCCAUGUACACCCAUCAUAUUCAGUGUCUUUCACUUAUUUUCAUCACCAUACCCAUCUUUUAUCCUCUUAUACCCAUCGUUUAUUUUUCUUGUAUCCAUUAAGCCAUAUUUUGACCAUCAUCGUCUCCUCUAUCACGCUUUUAGUAUACUUCUUUCCUUCCUCGAGUACAUGAAGCCUCAGUUUGCUAACAAACAGUCUUGCUUCGGACGCAAUACAGGGUGAUGUAUAUCAGCAUCGAAGGAAGAGGAUGCUAGAUAGUCCUUCAGGGAAAGUGCAGCCAUGCAUGUUGCUAUUGACGUGGCGGAUAGACCGAUAGACUGAUCCAAAAAUCUGAGAAGAAACAGUGACCGGGAAUGGUGAAGACCAGCCAUCAGAAUUGAUCUCGGAACCACCUGCUCUUGUACUAAGGUAUGGCAGCACGAUUAUGCCGCGAUUAUCACCAACCUUCAGGGCAGCAUUGCGUGGUACACCUGUAGAUAUUUCCAGAAAUUUUCAGUGAGUUCAAGGUGCCAAGUCUCAAAUGGUUUUUUAAGGAACAAACCAUGCAAACAUUAACAUGGAUCAAAGUUCUCAGAUUCCUUAUACAGAUGUAUUAACCGUCCAACCGGGUGAUCUAGCUUCAGGUCAUUUGGAUGACAGAGAACAGACUGAUGGAUCUUAUGUCAAUGUAACUAGGGACAAACAGAAGAACAGUUUAGAUUCAUCUCAGUCACAAGUAAAUGAUGACACACUUCGUGUGGAUGAUAGAAGUGGAAGAGUCCACCCAACUGUUGAUAUAGCUGAAAUUAUCAGGCGCUGGACUCAUGCUUUACAACAUAUUCAUAAACAGUCACUUCAUCUGGCAAAGUCUGAUGAUGGAGAGGGUCCAGAGCUUCUAAGAGGCGCACGUGAUGGUGGUACAAGUGAUCAUGCUGAGUCUUUGGCGGCAACUCUUUCUGAACAUCAGCAACACUUAGCUAGCUUUCAGGUGCUAAUAAACCAACUUAAGGAAGUCGCUCCAUCAAUGCAAAAGUCGAUAUCAGAAUGUUCAGAAAAAGUGAACGGUAUUUCCUCCAAUCUUCCUCCAAUGGCCAAACAUCAUGGUAGAUCAACAUCACCCAUCCAUGCUCAGAGCAGUGGAAGGACAGUGGAGAGUAGCACUGAUGAGGUUGCCGAUGUGACUUCAAAUUGUCUACCAUUCAUCUUGAGAAGGUUUCAGCUAGUCCUCCUGCGUUAAAACUUCCACAGUUGUUUAGUUUGACGCCAAAUUAUUCUGGAAAAAGUGGAAGUAUGAACAAAUGUCAAGUUGUGGCUCCUCAAUCCAAUCAAGUAGAGAAUUUGUCUGACAGGAAGUCUCUGGAUCAACCUCUGUCAAACAAUCACUUGAAUGAUCCACCACAAGACUCUGACAUUUCUUAUGUCCAGAACCUAAAGAGAUCUGUCAGAGAAGCAGCUCUGUCUAUGCAAACCUGCAAUGUGGAAUCAUCACGAGAUAGUCACUCUGAUGAUAGCUCCGAACACUUCUUUGUUCCUCUUUCUGGGACAGGGUUCUCUCGACUGGGCCCA
rnacentral:lncRNA from 1 species